rnacentral:rRNA from 1 species
AUCGCGGAUCAGAAUGCCGCGGUGAAUACGUUCCCGGGCCUUGUACACACCGCCCGUCACACCAUGGGAGUUUGUUGCACCAGAAGUAGCUAGCCUAACUGCAAAGAGGGCGGUUACCACGGUGUGGCCGAUGACUGGGGUGAAGUCGUAACAAGGUAGCCGUAGGGGAACCUGCGGCUGGAUCACCUCCUUA